GACAGGAGGGGGCAAGCGUUGCUCGGAAUCACUGGGCGUAAAGGGCGCGUAGGCGGGAUGGCGAGUCAGUCGUGAAAUCUCUCGGCUCAACCGAGAAACGUCGGCUGAUACUGCCGUUCUUGAGGGAUGCAGAGGAGACUGGAAUUCCCGGUGUAGCGGUGAAAUGUGUAGAGAUCGGGAGGAACACCGGUGGCGAAGGCGGGUCUCUGGGCAUUUCCUGACGCUGAGGCGCGAAAGCGUGGGGAGCAAACGGG
rnacentral:rRNA from 1 species